rnacentral:rRNA from 1 species
UGCGCAGGCGGCUCAUUAAGACAGAUGUGAAAUCCCCGGGCUUAACCUGGGAACGGCGUUUGUGACUGAUGGGCUGGAGUGCGGCAGAGGGGGGUGGAAUUCCACGUGUAGCAGUGAAAUGCGUAGAGAUGUGGAGGAACACCGAUGGCGAAGGCAGCCCCCUGGGUCGACACUGACGCUCAGGCACGAAAGCGUGGGGAGCAAACAGGAUUAGAUACCCUGGUAGUCCACGCCCUAAACGAUGCGAACUAGGUGUUGGGGAAGGAGACUUCUUUAGUACCGCAGCUAACGCGUGAAGUUCGCCGCCUGGGGAGUACGGUCGCAAGAUUAAAA